UGGUUCAGUUGGUAGAGCAUGGUGCUUGCAAUGCCAAGGUUGUGGGAACAAUUCCCAU
rnacentral:tRNA from 1 species